AUUGAACGCUGGCGGCAGGCCUAACACAUGCAAGUCGAGCGGAUGACGGGAGCUUGCUCCUUGAUUCAGCGGCGGACGGGUGAGUAAUGCCUAGGAAUCUGCCUGGUAGUGGGGGACAACGUUUCGAAAGGAACGCUAAUACCGCAUACGUCCUACGGGAGAAAGCAGGGGACCUUCGGGCCUUGCGCUAUCAGAUGAGCCUAGGUCGGAUUAGCUAGUUGGUGGGGUAAUGGCUCACCAAGGCGACGAUCCGUAACUGGUCUGAGAGGAUAAACAGUCAAACUGGAAAUGAGACACGGUCCAGACUCCUACGGGAGGCAGCAGUGGGGAAUAUUGGACAAUGGGCGAAAGCCUGAUCCAGCCAUGCCGCGUGUGUGAAGAAGGUCUUCGGAUUGUAAAGCACUUUAAGUUGGGAGGAAGGGCAGUAAGCUAAUACCUUGCUGUUUUGACGUUACCGACAGAAUAAGCACCGGCUAACUCUGUGCCAGCCGCCGCUGUAACAC
rnacentral:rRNA from 1 species